rnacentral:rRNA from 1 species
ACGUGGCGGAGGCUACAACUCAGGUGAAGCGCGCCUUCGGGUGAGCGGCGGACGGGUUAGUAACGCGUGGGAACGUGCCCUUCUCUACGGAAUAGCCUCUGGAAACGGAGAGUAAUACCGUAUACGCCCUUUGGGGGAAAGAUUUAUCGGAGAAGGAUCGGCCCGCGUUAGAUUAGGUAGUUGGUGGGGUAACGGCCUACCAAGCCUACGAUCUAUAGCUGGUUUUAGAGGAUGAUCAGCAACACUGGGACUGAGACACGGCCCAGACUCCUACGGGAGGCAGCAGUGGGGAAUCUUAGACAAUGGGGGCAACCCUGAUCUAGCCAUGCCGCGUGAGUGAUGAAGGCCUUAGGGUCGUAAAGCUCUUUCGCCUGUGAUGA